rnacentral:sRNA from 1 species
AGUCUGAGCCGCAGCCGCCGCCUCCUCCGCUCGCCCUCCUCCCUGGCGCUGACCGAUGGACCAGCCGCUCCGUGGGGAGGACUCCGGACCCUGAUUCUUCGCUGCAGCUGCCUUACCGCCGAGAACCACCACCCGCCGGGCGUCUUGCGGCCACACCCCUGGCGGGCUCAGACAGGCUACGCCCACGCGACCCCUCCCGUUUCCCUGCUCUGGCCAAUGGAGGAGCUACGAAUGGCACGACCUGCUCGAGCUUGGCAGUCUCCAGUUGCGCUGUGUAUGGAAGCCUGGGAAGACUUUGUUGGAAGGGGAGGCGGGGAGAGAGUGCUGGAGGCUCUCGGGCGAUGGCUUCCGCACCCCUUCCAACCACCCUCUUUCCCUGGAGUCGGCGGACCACAGCUCAGCCAAUUGGCUUGGAGAUGUGGCGGGUUGCCACUUCCCUGUGGGUCUGUGCGGCACUCUUCUGUCUGGUGACUGACACCUUGGAAAUGAAGUUUAUGACGUCAUCGUUGCGGCUGGCCAAUAGAAAAAGCUCCCGCGGAGAGGUGUUCCU